GUUGAGCCAAAGGUGCCACGCCGCGCUGACCAAGGCAGACAUAGACCGGCCAGUAGCAUGGGCUGUUUGCUUGGUCGCGCGGAGAGAAAUAUCUGUGGCUCGACGAAGCUCAGAAAAAGCUUGCUCGUCGAGCGCAGCACCCACACUCAAAUGUCUCUUGGUCGCGUGGCCAAUCUAGCUGUAGUCUGGCCACAGCCCGCGUAACCACCUCGAGUAAUUUCUCAGCCGCUUUAUUAUUAUGCGUGGAAUGUACAGAGGUUCAGCGCCCCCUCGUGAAACGAAGAGGCGCCGAGGCGCGCUUCAGGCUUACGAGAAGCAUCAGCUGGAUCUGGGGAGAGAGCGAGCGAUAGGGACGGACCCGUCUCUCGCUCCUCAGCCAGAUAUAUGCGAGAGCCCCACGAUGAAGGAGUGGGCGCUGACUCCCGGAAGUAAGCGAGGCGAGCGCAAAGCAUUUUGCCCGAAAGCAGAUCGCAAUGCGCGCACCCGCCCCGCCCCAACGCGAGAGCAGCAUGCUCUUCCCCCAGACAAACAAAACUGAAGCCGUCCCUCUCGGAUAUAGAGCGGAGGCAGGGAAACACGAAUCGUUUGUCUUGACCCUCUGUCAUAUUUAUAUAUAUUUUUUUUUUCCUCCCCCCCAUCUAACUCCUAACAGUGGAAAGAAAAUUUGCCAGGCUCGUGAUAGCACACAGCACAGAAUGGCUCUGAGGACGAAAAAUCUGAUGAUGCGCCGGUGACACAUCUAUUUAUAGCCACUGCGCCAUGUGCGUCCAAUGAUUACAUCGGCAGAGGCUAUACAUUCCAGUCAGUGUUGCAUAUAUAUUCACAGCUGGUCACAACUGAGACGUGUUCCCAAAACGCUCUUCAGCACAGCAUCAUAGUGAAGCUUUUUGUAAAGGGAACAUUUCGCUUUAGGAGACAUUAAUUUAAGCAGUGAAGUCAUAUGGAAGACAUUUAUGCUGACUGUCUGUUCUUUUUAGAGAUUCAAAGGACUAAUCACCAUCCACUUCCAUUUUAAGGACCUACCUGAGAUAUUCUUCUAUUUAUCUUAAAAUGUGUUCAGCAGAAGAAAGAAUGUCAUACAUACCUGGGAUGAUGAAUUUAGGUGAUUAUAAGAUGUGAACCAUAGCUGCUUCUCUUGUCAGCCAGUCAUUGCACAAUUUCAACGCUUUCAUGCCCUUGCACAACAAAACUGCCUUUUGUUAUCUUAAGGUUGUGGAACCAAUGGAUGCCAGGAAUCCACAAGCAAUGCCAAAUCUUAAAUCCCCAAGACUGUCUUCACUGAUGCUUGGCCUUUAUAAAGCUGAAAGUAGUAAUUUUCAUCAAAAUAAGGUAAAUCACAAGUGCAUUAAAUUAGAUACAAAAUUACAUAAUGAAUGACCAAUACAUUCAAUACCAGUUAAUCAGUGCAACAAAUGUUUUACAAGGCAAAAAGUUAUUGCAUUUCCACAGCUGGACCACUGGAUUGUUUCUGUUAAUAUGAUUUCAUCAUACAGGAGAGAACAGUGUGGGUUUAAUCUUAAUUUGUGGUGAUUGCAUGGCAAAUUGACAAGGGGGAGAUUACAGACACCGGGCUCUGAUAAGGGUGUCGUGUUAAGCGAAGUAGUGAACAAAAAUCUGUGCUGGCAAAGGAGGUAAUUUAACCAGACACUUACUCUGCCAUGAAUGGAUGGGAGUAAUACAACUGGGAGGCUUUCACCCUUCAAGUGAUUUUAACAUUAUUAUUCAGAGUUGCCAUAUUAAAGAGCUUGUAAGGAAUACAAUUAACUGAUCUCUACUGCAGUUUGAGAAGUUCUCUUUUUCAGUGAAUAAAGCCAGAUGGCGAGUUACCUCUUAAAACCCUCAGCAAUUUCAGACAAUAAUUAUUCAAGACUACAAAACAAAUAAACAAAAAAAGACAAAAAAGGGGAAUGGUAGUCUUAGCAGUCUCUCUUUAAUCAUGUCAAAGUUCUAUGUAGCUUAUUUUUACAAACAAUACAUUUAAUUCAUUAUACUUAAGCAGACAACGAGCACACGGGACAAACUGAGUGAUGGGGUUGACAUAAAAACAGUUUGAUACCGGAUGUAAAAAAAAUUAAAAUUGCCUAGACUCUAUCAGUCUCAGGAAAUGUCCAAACAAUAGAAAGGUUUAUAUUGCAAUGACGAUUCACCACCUACAUUAUACUGUAUGUGUUUUAAUAAAAACUCAAUGUUG